rnacentral:lncRNA from 1 species
AAACCCAAUUAAAAGCCCCGAAAACCUCAUUAUGGCUUAAGGGGGUCGGACCUUCCAGAGCACCAGCAGCGGGGCGGCCUACGUAGGCGGUAUCUGUUCACUGUCCAGGGGUGGAGGUGUAAACGAGUAUGGCAACAUGGGAGCCAUGGCAGUGACCCUGGCCCAGACGCUAGGGCAGAACUUGGGCAUGAUGUGGAACAAACACCGGAGCUCAGCAGGGGACUGCAAGUGUCCAGACAUCUGGCUGGGCUGCAUCAUGGAGGACACAGGGUUCUAUUUGCCCCGCAAGUUCUCGCGCUGCAGCAUCGACGAAUACAACCAGUUUCUGCAGGAGGGAGGCGGGAGUU